rnacentral:rRNA from 1 species
UACGUAGGGGGCGAGCGUUGUCCGGAAUCAUUGGGCGUAAAGCGCGUGUAGGCGGCUCGGUAAGUCUGCUGUGAAAGUCCAGGGCUCAACCCUGGGAUGCCGGUGGAUACUGUCGAGCUCGAGUCCGGAAGAGGCGAGUGGAAUUCCUGGUGUAGCGGUGAAAUGCGCAGAUAUCAGGAGGAACACCAAUGGCGAAGGCAGCUCGCUGGGACGGUACUGACGCUGAGACGCGAAAGCGUGGGGAGCGAACAGG